rnacentral:misc_RNA from 1 species
CUUUUUUGUCAUUCUUUCUCUUCAUUUUCUCUUCUUUUUUCGUAAGUGACAGUGUGAUUCUACAAUUCCAUACACAUACCAGAUUCACCUCAUCAUUCUCUUACUCUUAUCUCUCUACUCCUUCUUCUGAACCCAUCCUUCUGUACGAGUGAUCUCACUGCGCUGUCUUCCUUACUGCAAUUCUAGUGGAAGGAGAUGUAUGCUAAAUCCGUUACAGCUUUGUGAAUUGUGAGUCAACAAUACCGAGUGUGGACCUCAACAACUAUAUAGGUAAUUUCCCUAUCAUCUCUCACAGCUAUAUAGACCAAAGAAACAAAGUUAUGCUUUCAAUCUGCUUUAUAUGUUCAAGUCAUUUUACACUAGCCCAA